GUCUCAAUACGGACGAGCCACCAAAGAAACCUUCUCUCCAGCAGGAAACCACCUCUGAUGCGGAGCUCGUCUCCACGUCAGAGGACACUGGUGACGCCCCUGAACCAGCAAAGGAAGAGGUGGAGCCACAACGUUACGUGAUGCCCGUGGUACCGGCCGAAGCCGACGCCCUCCUCACUCUGAUGGACGUGUGCACCUCUGCUGAGGCCAGGCUGCCAGAGAGCGUGCCACAGGAAGUAGCACCGGUGUUAGCUCUUCAGGACGCUGACAUGACGAUGAAGGAGGCGGCCCUGACGCUGCUCUCCAUGGAUCCUGACAGCACGGUGUCCUGUGACCUGAUCAGCCCUGACGCUAAGGAAGAAGAGUCCACGGAAAGCCCGAUGGACACGGCUGGACCUGAGGAGGAUGACGGUAGUCAAACGGCCUCGACCAAAGGAGCUGAAACUGCACACGUACCAGAUGAGAAAGUGCUCACAUCGACAGAGAAUGAAGCAGUAGCAGAUGUGGGCGUGUGUGAAGGUAAUGAACUAGAGGCGAUGACGGCAGACAGCACAGUGACUAUUGAGUCUCAACCUCCAACACUGGUGUCUGAAGUGACCAGUGAGCAUGAGCCAACAGAGCGACUUCCUGUAAUGACCCUAGCCCUGAAAGAAGAUGAAAAUGCAGAAGAGGAAAACGAAGCUCCGAUGGACAAAAAUACUGGUGAAGCUGAGGGUCCUGCAAUAGAGGAGGAAGCUGUUUCAGCAGAGAACUUAAAUCCAGAGCCUAUAAACAACAGCAUUCCUGAGGAGGAGACAAUGAAGGAGGUCAGAGAAGCUGAGUCCAGUCAAGUCGAGCCAAUCGAUUUUUCUUCCAGGUCAGACAGUCAGCAGAAGGAAAAGAACUCCAACCUUUCUGAAAAAGAAGAAAAAAUGGAAGAAGGUGAGAGAUCUAAAGAAAACCCGCCCAGUCAGGAAGAAAGCGGUGAUAAGACGGAGAACAAGACGACGAAAGAAGCCACUGAGGUCAAGGAGCUUUUCAUUCAUUUUUUCAUUGAUUUAUUUAGCACACAUUUAAGAAAAAUCAACAU
rnacentral:lncRNA from 1 species